UACGUAGGGUGCACGCGUUGUCCGGAAUUAUUGGGCGUAAAGAGCUCGUAGGCGGUUCGUCGCGUCGGCUGUGAAAUCCCGAGGCUCAACCUCGGGUCUGCAGUCGAUACGGGCGGACUGGAGUUCGGCAGGGGAGACUGGAAUUCCUGGUGUAGCGGUGAAAUGCGCAGAUAUCAGGAGGAACACCGGUGGCGAAGGCGGGUCUCUGGGCCGAUACUGACGCUGAGGAGCGAAAGCGUGGGGAGCGAACAGG
rnacentral:rRNA from 1 species